UUAAAAAUGUUUAUAAAAAUCAUUUCACUCAAACUAAUUAGCAUUUAUAUAAUAUAAUGGGAUUCAAAUGAUAACAUUUCUUUCAAUUAGUUUUUAUCUGCCUGUCUAAUACAUUCUAUGUUUUUAAGAUUCAUAUAACUUUAUCAAAUUUUUUAAUUACUGUUAUUAAAAUCUUGUUACUUUCUCAAAAUUAUUAAUUGAUGCCAUGUCAAAAAUUAGAUAACACCACAAUGUGGCAUCUGCAUGAUGUGACAGUAAAAAAAAGAAAAUCACCCAAAAUCAAAAUGAAAGAGAAAAUCAUACAAAUUUUUAAUAAAAGUUUUCAACACAAUUAAACUAAGAUAAAGUCAGUAUUUUAAAUUAAUUAUUAUGAAAGUUAACAAAAUUCACAUUUCUUAACAACUGUGAACAAUUACAAUCAAAUAUAAUGUCAACAUUAUAUAUUGUCUAAUGACUAAUUUUUUUUUUCUUUCAAUCACUUGUUAAUUUGUUUUAUUUAUGUCUAAUUUUUAAUUCAUUUGCACAUUCAGUAUAUCCCUUCUUUUAAUUAAAUAUUAACUAUCUUGUGCAGAAGUUAUUGAUAGCAUAAGAUGGUCUCCCAUGAGUAUUAAUUGUAGACUGUUGGUAACAUACUGUACAUGCCAUAAACAUUUGUAACUGGUCAGAGUGAGUGGUUGGUCAAGUGCAACUAAUUACUUUCUCCCUGCUGUUUACAUAAUGACCAGUGUCAAACUCACCUAUCUAAUAUAAAGGAAAGUGUGAGAUAAGUGGGGUUUACAACAUGUACUCUAAUAUCCUGAACAAGUCUGGUAUCAGGAUCUGAUCUCAGAAAAUUCAAAUAUUACUCAGGAAGUUCAUUUGGACCUCAGUGCUUAUAACAUUAGGAGUAGAGUUAAACAUGUGACUUAAGUGCCAUUUAGAUAAAACAACUAAUAAUAAAUGUGAACUUUAAUAAAAUUAUAAUGGGACAUUAAAUGAGUUCUUCAUUCAGAUGGAAAUGGAAAUUUACUAAUGUUCAAUGGAAUAAUGGAAAACUUACAUUGCCCACAGGUACCAUAGAAAGUUUCAAAUUAUAAUGAUGACGAAGAAGAAGAAAAUUGAGUUGAUAACAGAAAUAAUUGAUGUGUGUACAACAGGCUUUAAAUGAUAUGGAUAGUUGUGUGCCACAGUGAAGCCAUUCUGAAAGACUGCAUCUGUAAAGGACAUGAUUUAUCAUAUUACAACAUGGAUACUUAUUUGGAAAAAAUCAAAAACAGUUAUCUUAAAUAAAUAUUUUGUUUUAUAUUUUCUCAGCUUGGUAGACAUUUAUUAUUUUUUGUAUUUGUGCAAUAGAAUAAUGUUUGUUAAGAUCUCUAAUGUAAAUCUAGAAAUAUUAGUUGAAAUGAAUAAAUUAAUUCUAUUAAAUAUUAGUUUAUUAAAAUAUUAUACCUUAUUACAUGACAAUUAAAAUUUUUUAUUUGUUACAAGGCGGGAAUUUUUCCGCCUAGGAUUUUUCCUGCGGAAUCCGCUUAAGGUAGGCGGAAUCCGCCUAAGGUAGGCGGAAUCCGCCUAAGGUAGGCGGAAUCCGCCUAAGGUAGGCGGAAUUUGCCUAAGGUAGGCGGAAUCCGCUGACAUAGCCAGACUUUAAGCGGAAUAUUUAAAUGAGCUAAGGCGGAUUCCGUCUAGAUAGGCGGAUUCCACCUUAGCUCAUUUAAAUAUUUCGCACCAUAUUCCGCUUAAGGUCCGCCUAAGAAGCAAUAUUCAACUCUGUUCAGUUUAAGGCGGAAUCCGCUUUACUACAUAGGCGGAUUCCACCUACAGUCAGGGCGGAAGUUUUCGUACGGG